GACGAACGCUGGCGGCGUGCUUAACACAUGCAAGUCGUACGGUAAGGCCCUUUCGGGGGUACACUAGUGGCGAACGGGUGCGUAACACGUGAGUAACCUGCCCACAACUUUGGGAUAACGCUAGGAAACUGGUGCUAAUACUGGAUAUGUGCUCCUGCUGCAUGGUGGGGGUUGGAAAGCUCCGGCGGUUGUGGAUGGACUCGCGGCCUAUCAGCUUGUUGGUGGGGUAGUGGCCUACCAAGGCGGCGACGGGUAGCCGGCCUGAGAGGGUGACCGGCCACAUUGGGACUGAGAUACGGCCCAGACUCCUACGGGAGGCAGCAGUGGGGAAUAUUGCACAAUGGGCGCAAGCCUGAUGCAGCAACGCCGCGUGCGGGAUGACGGCCUUCGGGUUGUAAACCGCUUUCAGCAGGGACGAAGCUUUUUGUGACGGUACCUGCAGAAGAAGCACCGGCUAACUACGUG
rnacentral:rRNA from 1 species